GAUGAACGCUGGCGGCGUGCCUAAUACAUGCAAGUCGAGCGAACGGACGAGAAGCUUGCUUUUCUGAUGUUAGCGGCGGACGGGUGAGUAACACGUGGAUAACCUACCUAUAAGACUGGGAUAACUUCGGGAAACCGGAGCUAAUACCGGAUAAUAUUUUGAACCGCAUGGUUCAAAAGUGAAAGACGGUCUUGCUGUCACUUAUAGAUGGAUCCGCGCUGCAUUAGCUAGUUGGUAAGGUAACGGCUUACCAAGGCAACGAUGCAUAGCCGACCUGAGAGGGUGAUCGGCCACACUGGAACUGAGACACGGUCCAGACUCCUACGGGAGGCAGCAGUAGGGAAUCUUCCGCAAUGGGCGAAAGCCUGACGGAGCAACGCCGCGUGAGUGAUGAAGGUCUUCGGAUCGUAAAACUCUGUUAUUAGGGAAGAACAUUUGUGUAAGUAACUGUGCACAUCUUGACGGUACCUAAUCAGAAAGCCACGGCUAACUACGUG
rnacentral:rRNA from 1 species